GAUACAUAAAAUUAUAAUUAUUAUACAAUACUCACUAGUGUUUGAUCAUUUACGUAUUGAAUUCUUGUUUGUUUUCAUCUUAGAUAUCACCUGAGAGUCCUUUUCACUUUUGGUGUCUGUUAUUAUCCAUUAAAAAUUAAAUAAAUAAAUGACUUUUUAUAUACAUAAUACUUAUGAAUCAGUUAAACAAUAAGAGUUAAUAAUUAUUAGCUUUUAUAUAGUAUAUAUUAUAAUACUUAUAUAAAAGUACUAAAAUAUGAGUUAAUAUAUAUAUUAAUAAUAAUUUUGUACGAGAAUAAUGUAAAAACAACAAACCUAUUUGGAGACCAAUUGAGAAAUAUGAUAUAAAAGGUAUUAUACAUGAAAUCCAUUGAUUAAAACAUCACAUCAACACUUGUUGAUAAAAUUUAUCUUUGUUUAAUUGUUUAAUAUUAACGUGUAAGAAUGUUUGAACCAAUGCAUUUGUAAGUAUUACAUACAAAAUUAGAUAUAUGACCUUAAUUUAAAAUGAAAUGAAUAUUUAUACUCAUAAUACCAUAUAAUAGAUGACCUAAUUGAUUAAUUUCACAUAUAAUAUUUUUUUUUCAUGUUUGGGUAAUACAAUUUAUAUAAAUAUAGAAAUUAAUAUCAAAUUCUAUUAUUAUAUAGAAUAUUUAUGUAGACAAAUAUCUAAAAACAAUAAUCUAUUUUGUGACCUUUUAGGAAAUAUGGGUACAAUUGUCUUAUAAUCUGAUUAUACUAAUUUAUUAAGACAUCAAUAAAUAGAUAAAUUUUCUAAUACUUUAACUAAUUAAAAUUGAAAUAGUUAAAGUAUACAUUUAAGACUUUCAUAAUAUGUUGACAUAAGGUUUUAUUGAAUUGCAAAUAUUAUAGAAUGAACAUAAAAUAGCUAAUAGUGUAUUUUUCUUUAUAAUGAUAUAUGAUAUUAAAUUCUUUUUCNAAAUUUCUAAUACUUUAACUAAUUAAAAUUGAAAUAGUUAAAGUAUACAUUUAAGACUUUCAUAAUAAGUUGACAUAAGGUUUUAUUGAAUUGCAAAUAUUAUAGAAUGAACAUAAAAUACCUAAUAGUGUAUUUUUCUUUAUAAUGAUAUAUGAUACUAAAUUAUAUUUCUCUAGUAAAUGGAAAUACUAUAACGCGUAAGUUGAUUAAUAAACAUAAAAAAAUAUUUAUACUUUUCAAUAAUACAAGAAAUAUUAUAUCAACAUAAUCCUUAUUUAGAAAUCUGGUAUAAUAUAAACAUAUAAAAAUGAUUGUACCCAUACAUUUUUAACUAAUAAAUAUUAUAUUGGAUCUUUGAUCUUCAUUUCCAAAUUAAAAAAUAAAUGGAGAAAUAUACACAUAAUACUAUACAAGAGAUGUUAUAAUUAAUGUAUUUCAUAUAUAAUAAUUAAAAACCAGUAAAACAAUACUUGUUUAUAAGUAUUAACUAGUAUUAUUAUAUUUACAACCAAUAAUAUGAUUAUACUGAAAAUAUGACAUACUAGACUUAAUUACUUUAAAAAUUUAGUUUGAAUACAUCUCAUUAAACUUGGUUUAAUGAGAUGUAUUCCAGUUACCAAUUUGUAGAUACCAAGUAUAUGGAAAAAGGUUAAUUACAAUGUCCUUAAUUCAUAUUAAUCCCUUUUUAAGAAGUUUGUACUCAUGUUUCUCAAAUGGUCUCCAAUUGAGUUAGUGUUUUUAGAUUAUUUUCCUAUAUAAAUAUUAUAUAUACAUUGAUAAUUUUACGAAUAUUUUUAAACAUAUUUCAGGAAUUAUUUUUUAUAGAUACUAAAAGUAUAGAAAACGCUGAUAAAUUGAUUUAACACAUAGAAAUAUACACAUUAAACAAAUUAGGAAAUUAUACAAUUUUAAACAUGUCAAGAAAACAUAUUUAACCGUGUUUAUUCAAUGUUAAUGGCUUAUAAUCUAUAUCUAUCAAUUCAUUUAACCAAAUAUGUAGGUUUUAUAUAUGAAAAUAAUGGCAAAAAACUAAUACAUUUAGAGACAGUAAUUUUUACAAUAAUUUACCUAAUUAAAAUUGAUAUUAUUAAGAUGUAAUUUUGAGAUUUUCAAAGCAAUUUUUUUUAUUGGGAUUUAUAGAUUUGUAAAUAUUGUUUUUCGAUAUUUAUAAUAAUUUUGCAAUUAUAAGAACGUUUAUGUGAUAUUUAAUUACCUAUUAGUAUUAAACUAUAAUUUUAGAGUCCAGAAAUAUUUAUUUAUUGAAAUCAUGUAUUAGAUCAAUGAAUUUAUGGUGAUUGUCUUAAUUUCCUGUAAAAAAUUAGUUUGAAUACAUCAUAAUAAACAUGUUCUGUGUACCAAUAUUUGUAGAUAUUAAUUAUAUAGUUAAUUGCAGAUAAAUUGAUAUGACACAUAAAUAUAUACACAUCAAAAACAAUAAGAAAUUAUGAAAGUAUAAUAAUAUCAUUGAAAACCAAUAUACCUGUGUAGAUAAAUAUUUUUUUGUAUAUAAGGUACAUUUAACCAGUGUUAUUCUCCUAAUAUAUAUAAUAUUUAUUUAUAUGAACAAAUAUAUAUAUAUAUAUAUAUAUAAAUAUGAUAUCUAUAUUUUAUUUGAGAAUAUGAGUACAAUAUUCUUUAAAUAUGAUUACACGAAUUUAGGACAUUAAUACAAAUCAUUUUCACAAUAAUUUAACUAAUAUAUAUUUGAUUUUAAAAAGGCACAAUUUUAGAAUUUUCAUAAUUAAUUGACGAUUAUAAAAUUUGAUAUUACUUUUUUUGUCAUGAAAAUUGUAUUACUUAAAAGCCGAAGUAAGUUCAUAUAUAAAAUAAAUUAAUUUAUCCAUACUUUUCUUAGCUGUACAUUUAGGAUUGUAUCUAUGAUCUUCAUUUAAAAUUGAAAGGAUACUAUUUAGAAUUAUGCUGAUAAAAUAUUUCCUUCCUUUGUAAGAAGUACUGACAUUUUUCAAUAUUUAUAAAUCAACUAAACUAACCCUUUUCAGAAUACAAAUUUAUUGAGAAAAAAAAAUUCCAUACUUCAUUAUAAAGAAAUAUAUACUUAUGGCUAUUUUUUGUUCAUUCUAAAAUAAUUUUUUGAUUGAAAUCAGUACAAUGUGUUGUUUUUUUUAAAUUUAAAAAUCAAUAACAGACAAUGUCAAUUUAAAAUCUUAAAAUUCCCAAAUUAUUUCAAUUUAAAUUAGUUGAANCUUUAAAUAUGAUUACACAAAUUUAGGACAUUAAUACAAAUCAUUUUCACAAUAAUUUAACUAAUAUAUAUUUGAUUUUAAAAAGGCACAAUUU
rnacentral:lncRNA from 1 species